CGACGUGGGCGACCUGCCUCACACAGGGGGAUAACAGCCAGAAAUGGCUGCUAAUACCGCAUAAGCGCACAGUGCUGCAUGGCACAGUGUGAAAAACCGAGGUGGUGUGAGAUGGGCCCGCGUCUGAUUAGCUUGUUGGCGGGUAACGGCCCACCAAGGCGACGAUCAGUAGCCGGCUUGAGAGAGUGGACGGCCACAUUGGAACUGAGACACGGUCCAAACUCCUACGGGAGGCAGCAG
rnacentral:rRNA from 1 species